CAUUCUACAUACAAGGAGCACUGCAGAAAGCAGAGCAAGGAAGUAACAGCAAAAGAAGGGGGCAGGAGGAUUCUAACUUCCAAGGUGGAAGCCCAGAGCCAGGCCCACUUCUGCUACUUGAGCUUUGAACAACACAGAGCAAUGAUCUUGAUAGUUUUCAUCAGCCACCAAGCUGGAGCAGCAAUGCGAAACCCAACUCACAGAACGUACCAAGUCAGAAGGGACCCGCAAAGAUCAACAAGUUCAGCCCCUGGCUCUGCACAGACUGUAGGAAUGUCUCUCAAAGCAAUUUCCUAACAUUAAAAGUAAGCUGUGGCAGGAACACGAUGAACAUGCCAAUGUUGACCAAGAUGACAUACUGCGCAGUCUGACAGUAAGUCUUGCCUUACGAUCGAUAACGCCUAUUGCAAAAGCCUCUGUAUUGAAGACUUGUUUUCACAGUUUCAGAUAACACAGUUUGCCACAAUAGCUAAUCUAGGACCCUUCUGUAAAAAUGUUGAUAAUUUUUAAGCAUUAAAAUUAUUUUUUCUGUCUUCUGGUAGCACAGCCACGCUAUCCAAAAUCAUUUCAAAAUAGAUGCGUCUUUAAUACUGAGACAUAUUUUCUUCAA